CAUCUUCUAAUUAAACCAGCGCGCCAGCACCUCUUAAUUAAACUGCCACGAGCCACCACCUCCUCCCCAAUUUUCUCUCCUCGUCUCCACGAUUUUCUCCAGCGACCAGAUCAGAGGAGGCGGCCUCCGAUCCACCAGCCACGCCAAUCCGCUACAACGGCGCCGCCCGCCUCCACUGCCGGAUCAGAACCGCCCCGGCACAUCCCCCCCGAAUGGCGCCGCCCCCGCCGCACUCGCCUGAACACCGCCGCCUCACCCGCGAGAACGCCGCCGGCCGCCUCCCCUGCAACGACAGUGCGGCUCGGCAAAUGCAAUCGGUAGAGGAAAAGCUGGAAACAGGGUAAAGGAAAUUUGUACUCGAGAUGCAACUUCUAAAGACUGCUAUGGAACAUAAGAGUGAGGAAGCACAAUCAGAAGGUGGGCACCUAAUGUCUGUUACACAAAUUGUGACUGAAGUUCUCAAGGAGCAUACCGUCUCAAGCACCUAACUUUCAAGCACAGGGUUGCAAUCAAGACCGGGGAGUUCUAAGCCCUCCGCUUCUGCACUACGCAUCCAAGAGUUAGAAGAAAGAGUUCAGCAACAAGAUAUAGAGGCAAAUGAGAUAUACUAGCAGGAGUUAAAGAAGAAAGUUGAAGCACAUUAGUUUGCACUUGAAGAGAUGAAAAGGAAGCAUCAAGAAAUUGAAGCUGUGAAGAAGAGCCAGCAAGAAGGCUUGGGCAAAGAAGCUGGCGGAAACAGACAACCUUCUUAGUUUUCUCUUACAAAAACAA